GACGAACGCUGGCGGCGUGCUUAACACAUGCAAGUCGAACGGAAAGGCCCUGCUUUUGUGGGGUGCUCGAGUGGCGAACGGGUGAGUAACACGUGAGUAACCUGCCCUUGACUUUGGGAUAACUUCAGGAAACUGGGGCUAAUACCGGAUAGGAGCUCCUGCUGCAUGGUGGGGGUUGGAAAGUUUCGGCGGUUGGGGAUGGACUCGCGGCUUAUCAGCUUGUUGGUGGGGUAGUGGCUUACCAAGGCUUUGACGGGUAGCCGGCCUGAGAGGGUGACCGGCCACAUUGGGACUGAGAUACGGCCCAGACUCCUACGGGAGGCAGCAGUGGGGAAUAUUGCACAAUGGGCGGAAGCCUGAUGCAGCAACGCCGCGUGCGGGAUGACGGCCUUCGGGUUGUAAACCGCUUUCGCCUGUGACGAAGCGUGAGUGACGGUAAUGGGUAAAGAAGCACCGGCUAACUACGUGCCAGCAGCCGCGGUGAUACGUAGGGUGCGAGCGUUGUCCGGAUUUAUUGGGCGUAAAGGGCUCGUAGGUGGUUGAUCGCGUCGGAAGUGUAAUCUUGGGGCUUAACCCUGAGCGUGCUUUCGAUACGGGUUGACUUGAGGAAGGUAGGGGAGAAUGGAAUUCCUGGUGGAGCGGUGGAAUGCGCAGAUAUCAGGAGGAACACCAGUGGCGAAGGCGGUUCUCUGGGCCUUUCCUGACGCUGAGGAGCGAAAGCGUGGGGAGCGAACAGGCUUAGAUACCCUGGUAGUCCACGCUGUAAACGGUGGGUACUAGGUGUGGGGUCCAUUCCACGGGUUCCGUGCCGUAGCUAACGCUUUAAGUACCCCGCCUGGGGAGUACGGCCGCAAGGCUAAAACUCAAAGGAAUUGACGGGGCCCCGCACAAGCGGCGGAGCAUGCGGAUUAAUUCGAUGCAACGCGUAGAACCUUACCUGGGUUUGACAUGGAUCGGGAGCGCUCAGAGAUGGGUGUGCCUCUUUUGGGGUCGGUUCACAGGUGGUGCAUGGCUGUCGUUAGCUCGUGUCGUGAGAUGUUGGGUUAAGUCCCGCAACGAGCGCAACCCUUGUUCACUGUUGCCAGCACGUUAUGGUGGGGACUCAGUGGAGACCGCCGGGGUCAACUCGGAGGAAGGUGGGGAUGACGUCAAGUCAUCAUGCCCCUUAUGUCCAGGGCUUCACGCAUGCUACAAUGGCUGGUACAGAGAGUGGCGAGCCUGUGAGGGUGAGCGAAUCUCGGAAAGCCGGUCUCAGUUCGGAUUGGGGUCUGCAACUCGACCUCAUGAAGUCGGAGUCGCUAGUAAUCGCAGAUCAGCAACGCUGCGGUGAAUACGUUCCCGGGGCU
rnacentral:rRNA from 1 species